rnacentral:rRNA from 1 species
AGAGUUUGAUCAUGGCUCAGAACGAACGCUGGCGGCAGGCUUAACACAUGCAAGUCGAACGCCCACUUCGGUGGGAGUGGCAGACGGGUGAGUAACGCGUGGAAACAUACCUUUUGCUUCGGAAUAUUCCCGGGAAACUGGGAGCAAUACCGAAUGUGCCCUGAGGGGGAAAGAUUUAUCGGCAAAAGAUUGGUCCGCGUUAGAUUAGGUAGUUGGUAGGGUAAAGGCCUACCAAGCCUACGAUCUAUAGCUGGUCUGAGAGGAUGAUCAGCCACAUUGGGACUGAGACACGGCCCAAACUCCUACGGGAGGCAUCAGUGGGGAAUAUUGGACAAUGGGCGCAAGCUGGAUCCAGCCAUGCCGCGUGAAUGAUGAAGGCCUUAGGGUUGUAAAAUUCUUUUCACCGGGGACGAUAAUGACGGUACCCGGA